UCUAUAUAGUUACGAUCUUUACAUCUCUUCAAAGUUCUAAAGGUCGAAUAUUUUGUUCUUGUUGUUUUGAUAGGGGGGUGAAGUCACAUCUGCUAAAGGGUUUAACGCUGGUGGUAUGUACGAUGGGUUAUGAGCUUCAGAGGAAAAGCCUGAUCUCGGUAUUGUAACCUGUGAUGUCGAUGCUGUACCUGCAGAUAACUGAACACAUCUUACAAGAAGCUGGACAAGGCACAAGUAGCAGAUGGUGGCGAGUUUGAAGGGUCGAUGGUGGAGGAGUUGUGGAAGAAGAAGAACAGUGAGGAAGCGGUUUGAACGGAUGAUUAUGAAAGGUUAUUAGUGGUAAAUUGAUAGGUGUUAAUGGUUUGUGUAAACAAUGAAAUGUUUGAUAGGUGUUAAUGGUUUAUGUUUGUGUUGUGGUUUGUAUAAACAAGAUAAGUUUUAUGGGUUUUUAAAUAAUUUAAUAUUUAUUGAGA